AUUGAACGCUGGCGGCAGGCCUAACACAUGCAAGUCGAGCGGAUGAAGGGAGCUUGCUCCUGGAUUCAGCGGCGGACGGGUGAGUAAUGCCUAGGAAUCUGCCUGGUAGUGGGGGAUAACGUCCGGAAACGGGCGCGAAUACCGCAUACGUCCUGAGGGAGAAGGUGGGGGAUCUUCGGACCUCACGCUAUCAGAUGAGCCUAGGUCGGAUUAGCUAGUUGGUGGGGUAAAGGCCUACGAAGGCGACGAUCCGUAACUGGUCUGAGGGGAUGAUCAGUCACACUGGAACUGGGACACGGUCCAGGCUCCUACGGGAGGCAGCAGUGGGGAAUAUUAGACAAUGGGCAAAAACCUGAUCCAGCCAUGCCGCGUGUGUGAAGAAGGUGUUCGGAUUGUAAAGCACUUUAAGUUGGGAGGAAGGGCAGUAAGUUAAUACCUUGCUGUUUUGACGUUACCAACAGAAUAAGCACCGGCUAACUUCGUG
rnacentral:rRNA from 1 species